CAAGGCUUGACAUAUACGAGAACGGGCCAGAAAUGGUCAACUCUUUGGACACUCGUAAACAGGUGGUGCAUGGUUGUCGUCAGCUCGUGUCGUGAGAUGUUGGGUUAAGUCCCGCAACGAGCGCAACCCUCGUUCUAUGUUGCCAGCACGUAAUGGUGGGAACUCAUGGGAUACUGCCGGGGUCAACUCGGAGGAAGGUGGGGAUGACGUCAAAUCAUCAUGCCCCUUAUGUCUUGGGCUUCACGCAUGCUACAAUGGCCGGUACAAAGGGCUGCAAUACCGUGAGGUGGAGCGAAUCCCAAAAAGCCGGUCCCAGUUCGGAUUGAGGUCUGCAACUCGACCUCAUGAAGUCGGAGUCGCUAGUAAUCGCAGAUCAGCAACGCUGCGGUGAAUACGUUCCC
rnacentral:rRNA from 1 species